rnacentral:rRNA from 1 species
CGAAUGGGGAGANUCAUCGUCAGCUCAUUUUAUAUAUAUACUAGUUAUGAUAUGGGUUACUACUUGUAGUAUUGCCUGUACAUUCUUGUAUAUUUAAUUGUAAGAUGUUGUCGGCGUGCACUUCUCCCCUAGUAGGACGUCGCGACCCGUUGAGUUUUGUUGGUCUACGGCCCAAAUGGAAGCUUUUAAUGAAUAUUUUAUAUUUAUUGAAAACCAUUGGUGUUUCCUGACUGACACUCGUCGGUAUUCGUAUGGUAUUGAGCCGCAUAUUAUAUGCGUCCUUAUCUGUCGCAAGCGAGAUUAUUUAUUGAUAGUACGGACCUAGUGCCGUCGUUGGUAAUAAUCAGCUGUUGGUUGUACAGAAUUCUAGGACUGGCUCGUUGAAAUACCGGUCAGCGAUGCUACUGCUUUGGGUACUUUCAGGACCCGUCUUGAAACACGGACCAAGGAGUCUAACAUGUACGCGAGUCAUUGGGAUUUUUAUAAAUUAAACCUAAAGGCGUAAUGAAAGUAAAGGUCGUCCUAGUGAUGACUAAGGGAGGAUGAACUGUAUUUUUUUAUUUUAAUAAAGAAAGACAGUUUCGCACUCUCGGGGC